rnacentral:lncRNA from 1 species
GUAGAAUUCUAAAUAGAAUUUGUAUAUACCUAUUUCCAUAUUUGAUGAACUAAAGUUGUAGAUAUCAUGGUCAAUCUGUCCUCUGUUGCCUUAGUUCUGUUUAUUGCUCUGUGUCUGAUUAAUAAGUAAGCCAGGAUACAAAAGGAGAGGGCGUGGAGGUCUUCUUAAAGAGGAAGACAUUGUAGUCUCCCUCAUUCAACAAAGACUAUUAUCCCAGGAGGUCAACCUUUUCUCUUAACCUUCCAUUUGGUGUUAUAGACAUGUAAGAGACAGUUUAUUCAAUUCUAAUUUGCUUGUUUUAUCUGGCGAAGGACAUUGCUUUUUGGACUGGGGGAUGACACAGACUGGUGAUGGAUUCUGCCAGGAGGCCCUGUUUCAUAACCGUGUGUUUGUGGGUACUGGCAACCACCUGUCUUCCAUAUUCCGGCUCCCAGAGCCCCAGCCUGUGGGGUAAGAAGGCAGUGUUCUUGGGCCGUCCAUGUAUGUGGCAGCUGGGUAAGGAGUGUGUAAUGCCCCUCCUGGAAGAGCUCAGUGUGUGUGUGCACCUGUGCCGGAAGAUUGCAACGCCUGAGUGGACCGGCUUUGUGUACAAGGCGCCUGGCAACAGGCAGGUAGAGCUGGGGCUUGCAGGCCGGGGAGGGCUCCUGGUGGCAUGGCUGUUUGGGCAGGAGUGGUCGGUACCAGAAGACCUGCCCCUGGAACACUGGCAAAACAUCUGCCUCACCUGGUCCAGCAACUCCAAGAGGCUCAGACUCUACAUCAAUGGGAGCAGUCGCCUGGACGCCCACGUUAACGCCAGCCUGUCCCGGCAACUGGCCCACAAUGGCACCCUGACCCUGGGGGUGUCCCAUAACAUAGUAGAUGGGGUGAUGGAGUUUGAGGAUGGGAAGAACUUCCUGGGGGACAUAAGCCUGUUCAGGAUGUGGGGGCGGGAGCAGACGGCUGAGGAGGUGAGGGCCCAUAGCUGUGCCGAUGGGAACGUGGUGAGCUGGGACACCCGUGACUGGGACUACCAGAGCUGCCUACCUGAAGAUGACACUAGCCUCCAGUGUGCAUGGUCAAUGUUCAAAAUUAAAAUGAAGGCCGUCAUAGCACAACGGCACCCUCUUGACAAGCCUGUCAAUUCCCCAGAGGACAUCAUACGCAAAUGGCUGGGGACCAUAUUUCCUGGGAACAUUUCUGUGCGUGACAUCUUUGUGUCAUCUCCAAGGUAGUUUCAUGUGUCAAUUGAACGGAAUUGUCCAUUGGAAUAUAAUGUACAGCAUUGCUUGAAUGGGGAGGGUGUUUUUAUAUGUGCGUACGUGUGUGCAAGUGUGCGUGUAUGUUUGUGGGUGCUUGUAUGUGCGUAUAAUAUAGCGAAGCCAUAUCUAUAUGAGAUACCAACAUAAAGAACAAAACUGUCUAGACUUUCAACAUCUUGUGUGAAUAUGAUGAUGUGUGUAUGUGUGUGUUGAAGCAACCUAGAACAUUGAAAUUAACACUGUGUGGACACAUGCCCCUUAGCCUAAUCUCUAGUGUUAUCUGUGUUCCCACACAGCCAGAUCUGUCAAGUGGGCUAUAAUCCUAGUGUGCGAAACACAGAGAAAGCUCAGGUACGUCACUGUCCAGUGCCUCAAUUUGAUUUUCCAUAACGAGGAUUGCAAUAUCCUCAGAGAAGCACCGUGCUGAUAGGGACAGCACUGAAGGGCUCCAGAUAACGUUGUUAUUCAACAGGACAGGCAGGAAACUGGCAGACAGGCUUUCAUCGUAAACCCUUUUGUCAGGUCGCAGACGAGGGGAAAGGUAAACUCAUGAACAAGUGGGAGAAUUGUAAUUAAGAGACCUUACAAGUUAGAACUAAAAUCAUAAAUAUGUGUUUGUUUCCAGGAAUCAAGAAAAAUGGAGUUCAACUCAACUUCUAACAAGUGGUAUGAGGAGAAUGCAUAAGUCAUCUUCCUCAGGAAUGUCAAUAAUAUGCCAGCAUGAGGAUGCAUAAUGGACAUUAUAGUUUCUAGUCUGAUGUUGUGUUGCUUCACUGUAGUGUCUCUCUCCAUAGUGUCAGCUGUUUGGUCUAUGUGAGUGUUAGUCCUGAGACUGAUGUUGGAGCGGCCCAGAAUGAUAUCUUUGGAAAGCUGAGUCUAGCCUUCACCUCUGGCCAAGUCACCCUUAUUGCAGACCCCAGCAGCCUCAGUGUACGCCCCAUAGGUGGGUACACACACACACACACACACACACACACACACACACACACAUACACACACAGUAACAGUCAAAAGUUUGGACACACCUAGCUGUUCAAGAGUUUUUCUUUAUUUUUACUAUUUUAUAUUUUAUGCAUACAUAAUAAUAGUGAAGA